rnacentral:rRNA from 1 species
AUACGUAGGGGGCGAGCGUUGUCCGGAAUUACUGGGCGUAAAGGGUGCGUAGGCGGUAUGUUAAGUCAGGUGUGAAAUCCCACGGCUCAACUGUGGUGUUGCACUUGAAACUGGCAUGCUAGAGUGCAGGAGAGGGAAGUGGAAUUCCUAGUGUAGCGGUGAAAUGCGUAGAGAUUAGGAGGAACACCAGUGGCGAAGGCGGCUUCCUGGCCUGUAACUGACGCUGAGGCACGAAAGCGUGGGUAGCGAACAGGAUUAGAUACCCUGGUAGUCCACGCCGUAAACGAUGGAUACUAGGUGUAGGAGGUAUCGACCCCUUCUGUGCCGUAGUUAACGCAAUAAGUAUCCCGCCUGGGGAGUACGGCCGCAAGGCUAAA